UACACGGCCCUUUUCAGGGCCAACCACAUCUUUAGAAAAGAUGCCU
rfam:Crassostrea gigas strain 05x7-T-G4-1.051#20 contig10294, whole genome shotgun sequence.